CACACGCAGGGGUCAGGUCUGUGAGGUCACGUGGGAGGCACACGCAGGGGUCAGGUCUUUGAGGUCACGUGGGAGGCACAGGCAGGGGUCAGGUCUGUGAGGUCACGUGGGAGGCACAGGCAGGGGUCAGGUCUGUGAGGUCACGUGGGAGGCACACGCAGGGGUCAGGUCUGUGAGGUCACGUGGGAGGCACACGCAGGGGUCAGGUCUGUGAGGUCACGUGGGAGGAACACGCAGGGGUCAGGUCU
rnacentral:lncRNA from 1 species